rnacentral:rRNA from 1 species
GACGAACGCUGGCGGCGUGCCUAAUACAUGCAAGUAGAACGCUGAAGGAGGAGCUUGCUUCUCUGGAUGAGUUGCGAACGGGUGAGUAACGCGUAGGUAACCUGCCUGGUAGCGGGGGAUAACUAUUGGAAACGAUAGCUAAUACCGCAUAAGAGUAGAUGUUGCAUGACAUUUGCUUAAAAGGUGCAAUUGCAUCACUACCAGAUGGACCUGCGUUGUAUUAGCUAGUUGGUGGGGUAACGGCUCACCAAGGCGACGAUACAUAGCCGACCUGAGAGGGUGAUCGGCCACACUGGGACUGAGACACGGCCCAGACUCCUACGGGAGGCAGCAGUAGGGAAUCUUCGGCAAGGGACGGAAGUCUGACCGAGCAACGCCGCGUGAGUGAAGAAGGGUUUCGGAUCGUAAAGCUCUGUUGUAAGAGAAGAACGAGUGUGAGAGUGGAAAGUUCACACUGUGACGGUAGCUUACCAGAAAGGGACGGCUAACUACGUG